rnacentral:rRNA from 1 species
AGUGAACGCUGGCGGCGUGCUUAACACAUGCAAGUCGAACGAGAACGGAUUAUAGCUUGCUAUAAUUGUCAGCUAAGUGGCGCACGGGUGAGUAAUGUAUAGGUAAUAUGCCUCUUACUAAGGGAUAACAAAUGGAAACGUUUGCUAAUACCUUAUACUCCUUAUUAACCUAAGUUAAUAAGGGAAAGAUUUAUUGGUAAGAGAUUAGCCUGUAUUGUAUCAGUUAGUUGGUGGGGUAAUGGCUUACCAAGACUAUGACACAUAACUGGUUUGAGAGGAUGAUCAGUCACACUGGAACUGAGACACGGUCCAGACUCCUACGGGAGGCAGCAGUGGGGAAUAUUGCACAAUGGACGAAAGUCAGAUGCAGCAACGCCGCGUGGAGGAUGACACAUUUCGGUGCGUAAACUCCUUUUAUAUGAGAAGAUAAUGACGGUAUUAUAUGAAUAAGCACCGGCUAACUCCGUGCCAGCAGCCGCCGUAA